AACACGACUUUGAAAUGUAGCUCAAUGUGCAUGUUUUGUCUUACAGAGACACGAGGUGAGCUGGUUGCUGCUUUGAAAAAGAAGCACGUGGCCAUCCCUAUGAUAUUGGACUCAAGGUUCGAGAUUGAGAUGUCGCCAUCCCCUGCAGUGGGUGGCAAGUACAAGAAAAAAAGAAGACGGAGGACAAGACGUCCACUGUGUCGCUUGUGGAGCAUGCCUGACUGGUUGAAAAGCUGCGGUCGGCAAAGCAGAGGGUGGUGAACCUGGAGCAGGAGCUCCAGAUAGAGAGGACGCUACCAAGAAGCAACUGCUGGCACUACUGGUGGACAAAGUCCCGUCUGGCGGUGUUGGGUCAGCUCCUCCAGCUUGCCCAGCGGCAGUUCCUGCAGCUGGUGCUCCUGCUCCAGUUCACGUUGCGCGAGCUACCGGCCGCUGAUGCUGCUGUUCCAGCAGCGGUUCUUGUAGCAGGCCCACCGGAGGCACCUCCCGAGUGUGUGCCAGUGCUUGCAGAGGUCGAUGAUGAGGUUCACCUUGGCCACGGUGUCUUGGUGCGAAAGUACAAACUGUCCUACGUCAGGGGAGCCCGGGGAGACUCCAUCUUCGUUAAAGAGGCCA